rnacentral:rRNA from 1 species
UACGAAGGGUGCUAGCGUUGUUCGGAAUCACUGGGCGUAAAGCGCGCGUAGGCGGCUUUUCAAGUCAGGGGUGAAAUCCCACAGCUUAACUGUGGAACUGCCUUUGAAACUGAAAAGCUAGAGUGUCGGAGGGGAUGGCGGAAUUCCUAAUGUAGAGGUGAAAUUCGUAGAUAUUAGGAGGAACACCGGUGGCGAAGGCGGCCAUCUGGACGACAACUGACGCUGAGGCGCGAAAGCGUGGGGAUCAAACAGG